AGAGAAGUGUCCGAGCGGCUGAAGGAGCACGAUGGCAAAGUCGUGCAGGCGCGUCAGCGUCUCGAGGGUUCGAAUCCCUCUUUCUCGU
rnacentral:tRNA from 1 species